GUUGGGUAGGGGAGCGUUCUGUAAGCCUGCGAAGGUGGCCUGUGAGGGUUGCUGGAGGUAUCAGAAGUGCGAAUGCUGACAUAAGUAACGAUAAAGCGGGUGAAAAGCCCGCUCGCCGGAAGACCAAGGGUUCCUGUCCAACGUUAAUCGGGGCAGGGUGAGUCGACCCCUAAGGCGAGGCCGAAAGGCGUAGUCGAUGGGAAACGGGUUAAUAUUCCCGUACUUGGUGUUACUGCGAAGGGGGGACGGAGAAGGCUAUGUUGGCCGGGCGACGGUUGUCCCGGUUUAAGCGUGUAGGUGUGUGUUCCAGGUAAAUCCGGUUCACUUUAACACUGAGGCGUGA
rnacentral:rRNA from 4 species